rnacentral:misc_RNA from 1 species
GCUAAAUAAAAAUCGGUGUUGUUGCUGCCUUUCGUGGUGACGCGUCGGAAUUGAGUCGUCUUGUCUUCGGUUAAGUGACUUAAAAAUUUUAUGAUUUUCGAACGUAUUUAAAUUGCUUACGUACGUUUGAGAUAUCGAAUAUUUUAUUAGGUUCGGUCAUCCUUAUGACUCGCGCCUAUAAUUUUUUCAUU